CCAGGAAAACUGAUGUCCCGGUGCCAGCGGUGCUUGUCUUGCAGUCACACCCUUUGCACGUCAAUUUGGACAUCCUGGUCUACUCACAGCGCUGUGUUUGAAUCCUGUGCAACGUGAUGGAUUUUUCUACCCAAACAGUAGUGGUGGGUGACACACACUAUGGGUCAGGCACUGUGCUAAAAGUGCAGUAACUCAUUUAAUGCUCACAGCAGCCCUGUGAGGUGGAUGCUAUUAUCAUCUCCAUUCUUUAGAGGAGGAAACAGGCACAGUGAGGUUAACUAACCAGCCCAAGGUCACCCAGCUAGUAAGUGGCACAGCUAGGAUUUGAACUCAGGCAGCCUGGCACUGGAGUCUGUGCUCUUAACCACUCAUUACAGGGGCACUUUAUGAUCCCCAGCUUCACUGCAGGGGCUUUUGUCUGGGGGCUGGCAGAGGACAUUUCUCUCGGGUCCCACAGGGCCCACUGGGAAGGGCGGGGUUGGCCGUCACUCAGAUUCCGCUCCGCUGCUGUCUGGGCUGGGAGCCCCCUCCCGGUUCCCUCCCGUGAUCUGUUCCUUCUCCUCCUUCAGGACUCAGGUCAAUGUCCCUCCUGGUCCCUGAGUCCCCAUCCAAGCCCCCACACCCGUCACUCCCUCCCUGCAGCCUGGUUAGCUGCCUUCCCAGCGCCUCUCACCUCAGGAAAUCCUCUCGAGCGUCGCUGGAGUGAUUUCUUGCUCAUCGUCUGUCUCCGGCCACAAGUGCAGGGUCUGUAGGGGCAGGAUGGGGACCACGGCCGCACCCCCAGAGCCUGGAGCUGUGCCUGGCACAGAGCACGUGCUUAACAGAGCCCGUUGGAUGAAUGCCACACGUUGGCCGCUGGAGGAUGCUGGAAGAAAUCUCCAAGAUCGCCCUCUGACCUGCUCACUUGACAGAGGACAUGGUGGGAGGUGGGGGGCUCCAGAACUGUGCCCCUGACCACCUGGCUGCACUGCCACACGGCACACAUCAUGGACACACAGGACACGGAUUGCCAAGGAGCCCAUUGACUUUCUAGCAAGAGCGAAGCCGUCUGUGCGCAAGACUCAGUCUGAGGAGUGAUGGGCCACAGGCUGCAGUGGAAUAAACUGGGAAGCUCUGCUCCCCUUGUCACAUCCUGAGCUCAAACCAGACAGGGUCCUUAGGAGGUGACAGCCGACAGCGUUAAAGAAAGUGUCAGCGGUUGCUGUGGGAAGAUGUUCCCCCAGGAGAGGAAGCUGGGGAGCCAGCACCCACAAUCUUGGUGGAGUCUCUUUCUAGAACCUGCUUGCGUCUCUCAGCCACCUGUCACACAGAGCUGCCUGGAGACCAAGUGACGUGGAAUGAGCCUCUCCCGCCACCUCCCAGGGCUGUUGGGGGUCACCUCCACUGAUGGAUGCCAGGACACGCUGGCAGCGUGUGUGGUUGCUCUCUGCCUGCAAAUUAUUCCAAAAUCUGGUGCCGGGUUUCCAGCCCAUGACGUGUUUUCAUGUCUGUUUCUAGUCCAUAUUGCAAAGGUAGUUUCCUCUGCAGCCAGCACAGGUACGUUACUAUUUAUUAAACUCUGCACGUUAUUGAGAUUUUACUAGUUUUCUCUCGUGUCCUUUUUCCGUUCUACACUCCCAUUCAGGACACCAAAUUAUCUACACUGUGUGUUUCAAACAUUUUUGGACAUAACCCAAAGUUAAAAGUGCAUUUUAC
ensembl:lncRNA